AUGGCGGCUUCGGCUGCCACUUACAGAUGGACCCGCGGCGCAUUAGCUAGUUGGUGAGGUAAUGGCUCACCAAGGCAACGAUGCGUAGCCGACCUGAGAGGGUGAUCGGCCACACUGGGACUGAGACACGGCCCAGACUCCUACGGGAGGCAGCGGUAGGGAAUCUUCCGCAAUGGACGAAAGUCUGACGGAGCAACGCCGCGUGAGUGAUGAAGGUUUUCGGAUCGUAAAGCUCUGUUGUUAGGGAAGAACAAGUACCGUUCGAAUAGGGCGGUACCUUGACGGUACCUAACCAGAAAGCCACGGCUAACUACGUGCCAGCAGCCGCAGUAAUACGUAGGUGGCAAGCGUUGUCCGGAAUUAUUGGGCGUAAAGGGCUCGCAGGUGGUUUCUUAAGUCUGAUGUGAAAGCCCCCGGCUCAACCGGGGAGGGUCAUUGGAAACUGGGGAACUUUAGUGCAGAAGAGGAGAGUGGAAUUCCACGUGUAGCGGUGAAAUGCGUAGAGAUGUGGAGGAACACCAGUGGCGAAGG
rnacentral:rRNA from 1 species